AAUAGAUACCUGGUAGUCCUUACCGUAAACUAUGUAUACUUGGUGUAACUGAACUCAACCUCAGUUGUGCCGUAGCUAACGCGAUAAGUAUACCGCCUGGGGAGUACGCUCGCAAGGGUGAAACUCAAAAGAAUUGACGGGGACCCGCACAAGCAGUGGAGCAUGUGGUUUAAUUCGAUGCAACGCGAAGAACCUUACCCAGGCUUGACAUGCAGAGGACAGCGCUAGAGAUAGCGUUUCCCGUAAGGGUCUCUGCACAGGUGCUGCAUGGCUGUCGUCAGCUCGUGCCGUGAGGUGUUGGGUUAAGUCCCGCAACGAGCGCAACCCUUAUCAUUAGUUGCCAACACGUGAAGGUGGGAACUCUAAUGAGACUGCCCGGGUUAACCGGGAGGAAGGCGAGGAUGACGUCAAGUCCGCAUGGCCCUUAUGUCUGGGGCUACACACGUGCUACAAUGGUCGGUACAGAGGGCAGCCAAACCGCGAGGUGGAGCAAAUCCCAUAAAGCCGGCCCCAGUUCAGAUUGU
rnacentral:rRNA from 1 species